rnacentral:misc_RNA from 1 species
GAAAUGCGAUAAGUAAUGUGAAUUGCAGAAUUCAGUGAAUCAUCGAAUCUUUGAACGCACCUUGCGCUCCUUGGUAUUCCUUGGAGCAUGCCUGUUUGAGUAUCAUGAAAUCUUCAAAGUAAAUCUUUUGUUAACUCAAUUGGUUUCUACUUUGGUAUUGGAGGUCUUUGCAGCUUCACACCUGCUCCUCUUUGUUCAUUAGCUGGAUCUCAGUGUUAUGCUUGGUUCCACUCGGCGUGAUAAGUUAUCUAUCGCUGAGGACACUGUAAAAGGUGGCCAAGGUAAAUGCAGAUGAACCGCUUCUAAUGGUCCAUUGACUUGGACAAUACUUUUAUGAUCUGAUCUCAAAUCAGGUAGGACUACCCGCUGAACUUAAGC